AGAAGCCCCGGCUAACUCCGUGCCAGCAGCCGCGGUAAUACGGAGGGUGCAAGCGUUAWUCGGAAUUACUGGGUGUAAAGSGCACGCAGGCGGUUUGUUAAGUCAGAUGUGAAAUCCCCGGGCUCAACCUGGGAACUGCAUUUGAAACUGGCAAGCUUGAGUCUUGUAGAGGGGGGUGGAAUUCCAGGUGUAGCGGUGAAAUGCGUAGAUCUGGAGGAAYACCGGUGGCGAAGGCGGCCCCCUGGACGAAGACUGAC
rnacentral:rRNA from 1 species